rnacentral:rRNA from 1 species
GGACGGGUGAGUAACGCGUGAGCAAUCUGCCUUUAAGAGGGGGAUAACAGUCGGAAACGGCUGCUAAUACCGCAUAAAGCAUUAAAUUCGCAUGUUUUUGAUGCCAAAGGAGCAAUCCGCUUUUAGAUGAGCUCGCGUCUGAUUAGCUGGUUGGCGGGGUAACGGCCCACCAAGGCGACGAUCAGUAGCCGGACUGAGAGGUUGAACGGCCACAUUGGGACUGAGACACGGCCCAGACUCCUACGGGAGGCAGCAGUGGGGAAUAUUGCGCAAUGGGGGAAACCCUGACGCAGCAACGCCGCGUGAUUGAAGAAGGCCUUCGGGUUGU